rnacentral:lncRNA from 1 species
UGGGCUAUCGUAUUGAUUAGCUCCCACUAAUUUUAACAUAUCUUACGCCCCCAACGUAAAACACGAAUUUAUAAUCCAUAUAAAUUUUAGUGGUCCAAGAUCCAAGUCAAUAUUAUGCAGCCUCUGCUUUGCUGAUGACUACAAUAAUAUUACUUAGUAGGCCUCUAAGCCAAUUGCAACAACAAUUUUGCAACUCUUGGUUGAUUAAUCAAAUUAAUCUGCGUCCUUAAAUUAUUCUUGGUCGCUUUGCGUUCCAAAAUAAUUUAAGUAAGUCAACCCCAUCACACGGUGCCAACCUAUGAAUGAGCCUUGGCCUUGUAGAUUAGAGCAUACAAUUUUAUGUAAAUACUCUUGAUCGAAAAGGAUGGGUUGCUCAGACAAUUAUGAUGGACGACGCGUUUUGUGCUUACACAAAGACUUAUAUUUAAUGGGGAUUUAGCAUGUGAUACUAAUUGCUUAUAUUUAAUAUCCAAUAUUAAAUAGCAACACAAUUACUGGGUGCCGCCUACCCAGGCAUAUAAAAUGCGGACCACACAUAUUGGGCGCCGCCUACCCAUACAUAGCAAAGCGGACUACAUAUAUUGGGCGCCGCCUACCCAAGAUAAAUGCGGUCUUUAACUACUAUAGUUAAAUAAUAAGCAUAAAAUCAAAUAACAUGCUUAUCACAUAAAGACAUAAAAUCUCUACGAAUAAAAUCAUUAAUCAAAUUAAUAUUUUAUUCUCUAAUUAAAUAUGGAUUAAUCAAUUUAUAUUAAUUCUAAAUUAAUAUAAAUUUAUUUCUAUUAUUAUUAAUUCUAAACUAAUAACAAUAAUUUAAAUCUAUUAAUCCAAUUAAUAAAUUAAUUCUGAAAUUGGGAUUCAAUUAUUAAUUCUAAAUUAAUAAAAGUUUUUUUUUUUUUUUUUUUUUAUAUUAUAUUAUACAGUUUUAGAUAAGAUGCCGAGCCUCUUACAUUAAAAUUCGCAAGCCCAGCCGAUAAUAAAAGAAACAGAAGCCCAGCAGCACCAAGCCCAUACCGGGCCCAAACAUCUUAAAGCCCAAAAUCCAAUUUUUUAGCAGCAGCCGCUGCUUCCUUGUCGUUCCCGUCAGCCACGCCGCCCGUCAGCCCGCCGCCGCCGCCGCCGCGCAUGAAGCGACGACGCCAUCAGACGUCGCGCGUCCACGCCGGAGGUCUCCACGCCGGUUGCGGCUCGAAGCCGCGUCGGAGGGGACGCGUUUUCAGCGGAGGAAGAAGCGGCGCCUUUGAAUCGAGGUGCGACGCAGACGGCGGCGAGUGGUCGGGCGCGGCGCACCGGCGAGCCCCGACCCACCUGCGCCGCCUCGUCAAUCACCCACGCCCUCUGCAUCGGCGGUGGUCGAUGGCAGCAGCAGGCGAAAGGCUCGUAGGUUCAUCCAAUGAACAUCCAAUUUCAGAAAACCAAUUCUCAAAACAAAUUUCGAAAAUUUCUAAUUCCAAAUUGAAUUUCGAUUUUCGAAAACAGAUUUCUAAAAUCAGAUUUUUCUUAACCCAUAAACAAUUAGAACACAAUAGUAAUUGUAAAUCGAGCCCCGGGCUCUGAUACCACUGUUGGUUAUCCUUGACAUCAUCUAAUGAUACGCAGCGGAAUAUACAUUCAAGGAUUAGAUCUAGAUUUACAAAUGCAUCAUGUAUAGAGAUAGAUACACAACAAUUAGAAUAACUUACUUGUUAUGUGGUAAACGUAGCGUCUCGAUUCGUGUCGUGAAUCCAGCUACUAACGGAUCCACGGUUUUGUUCGCUAAUAUUUUCACCACGCCGCAAGUAUACGGUGUAGUUGCAAUAUAAGGGAAGCAAGGUCGUAUUCCACAAGGAUUGGUGAAUUUAAACUUCUAAAUAUUAUUAAUAAGUUGUUUUCAAUCUAUUUAGACAACCAAAGUUCAAGAGGUAUUGAAAACUAAAACAAAGCUAAAUUAAAGCAAGCAAAGUAAAUAACAAUAACAUAAACUUAGUUAAUAAAUUGGGGAAUGACUCGAAGGAAAGUUAUCCUAGGGACUAGAUUUCGAUGGAUCGUAAUGAACUUCAAUCUAAAUCAAUAUAAAUCUUGAUAUGGCCUACUUAUCUAGGGCGAUCUCCCCACUAGUUUUAGCCCCCUCCCGGACGACUAAAACAGUAGAUUACGGGUCAUAAUUGCCGUCCCCGGUCAAUUUCUAACCUAUAACUCCCAAGAGCACAAAAGAUCAACAAGCCCUCACCCACCUCUCAACCUCCCGGUUUAUUGAGAUGAUAUGUAUCAAACUCCUAAUCUAUUGUAAUUAUCCUCUCCCGAUUCAAAUCACAAAUUAGAAAUGCACAAAAGGUGGCCAACCAAUCAUACAAGAGAUAAAUCUAGGACUUGAAAAGAUAACAAUAAGCACAAUCAAGAUAUAUAUUGAACAAAGAAAUCAAUCCAUUACAAAUCCAUCUAAUCUAAUCCCUAAGAUAAGAGAUUUUAGCCAAGCAUAUUCAUAAUAAAAGCAAAUCUCAAGUCAUAAGAAAACAUAAAUAAAGAUAUAGAGAGAUAGAGAUUCAUAGACAAAUCCUAUAAUCUUGAUCUUCAAUCAUGUAGUCUUGAUGAGCUCCUUUCCAAGUCUUCCCCUUCUUUAUUUGAUUUUGGUGUUGUUUUUGUGUGUGGAAGAGAGAAAAAAUGGUAGAGAAUGGAGGCUAGGGUUUGGGAUUGGAGAGUUGGGGAAGAUGAAGUGGGUGUGUGUGGUGAAUGAUGUUAGAAAAGAAGGGAAAAAUGGAGUUUUGGGGCUAAAAUCGCGUCUGGGGCCCACUUGGGGGAAGCCCCGCCCUUUUCCCGCGGUCACGGCCCGCGUCCGCGGCCUUCAAACGUGGGGGAUGCUCAGGGGACCCGCGGUCCCGCCCGCGGCCGCGGGUGGUGACCGCGGGUGACUCCUGGAGUCGGGAACAGCUGACCCGCGGUCCCACCCCGCGGCCGCGGGUGGUGACCGCGGGGUACUGGGCGUUUUGCACAGUCCGCUCGUUUUGCUCCGUUCUCCCUCGUCCGGACUCGGAUUUGGUCGCCGUUUGCGCUCACGGAUUCCUCUCGAGACGUACUUCAAUCUCAUAUCUUCAAAAUCCUCCAAUUAAUCCUUGAUUUUUCCUGAAAUUACUCCAAAACUACACCAAGACAUCAAAUCUUCAUAAAACUCAACAUUAUGGUACAAACACGCAUUGGCAAACAAAACAUGAAGGAAAAUGACAACAAAUCAUGUGGAAUUGAGGUACGAAAACCAUGUUUGUCAAGCCCCCAAACUUAAAGCGUUGUUUGUCCCCAAACAACAAAGAGAAGAGAAAUAAAAGACAACAAACAUGUGAGAAUGAAUUGGUGUCAUUUCAAGGGCUUCAACAAUUUCAAAAAUCUUUCAAAAAUGUAUCACAAGUAGAAAUGCAUUCCAAGAAAUCACAAGUGAUGAAGAGUUCAAUAUUAUGGCCUCCAAGCUUGAAUCCUCACAAAUGUGGAUGUUUCAAUGAUGCACUCAACUCUCAAGUGUUUAGGUUGCACUCAAAUUGAAACAAUGUAUGCAAUCUACCAUAAGCUUGCCAUUUAUCCUAACUCUCUAUACUUCAAUGUGUUAUAAAUAAUGAUCAACAAGGGCUUUUCUUUAGGUUGCAAUGAGGGCUCUUUGGUGAGGUAAGGUGUUUAUAGGCAAAGUGACUCAUAUAUAAUUCCCAAAUUGAAUAAGUCAUACUCACCAUUGUUCUUUUCAAAUCAAUCAAUAACCAAUAUCCCCACAUUUCUUCUUUUUCACCCUAUGAAUACUUAUCAAGAUCAUGAUUCAAAAGGCAAAUCACUCCCCUUUAUACUUCCUUUAUUCAACAUUUCUUUUUGCUUUUCUUUUUCUUUUCUUUUAUUUUGGAGCUCAUAGGGGACUAGUGAUUUUCACUCAAUCAAAGUUAGACAAGUAAUUUCAAUCAUUUCCCAUACAUUUUCAUCAAAGUAACCACUAACAAUCUAAGUUCUACCCAUCAUUGGUUAAUUCAAAGAAAGGCUAUAAGGCACAAAGAUGGUAAACUAGGAUCGCAUGAGAAUUUGGACACAAUUUAAGUAAAGUGGCUAACAAGGAUGGCCUUAAAUCACUUCAAUAUUAACAACACAUCUACUUUUAUUUUCAAGAGAGGACUCAUGGCAAGUUCUAGAGAUCAACACACAUGCUCAAAUGAUUUACACUCAAGAACAAAAUGAGAUUGUAAAUGUAUGACAAUCAAAUGCUCAAUUCUCACAAGCUCAUUUUCUUUUUCAAGUUCUUGGAGGUAUAACAUUUAGCUCACUUGUCACAAGUUCAAACUUUUCAUGCAUAAUCCACAAGUGAUACACACAAUUUUUCCAAAAGCAACAUUCAUAUCAUAAGCCCAACACACAUUUCAUCCAACUCAUGUUUUCAACAAUCAAGCUCAAAAACAAAAGACAAGGAAAAGCUCAAAAACAGAGACAAAAUCUCAUUAUUCGAAAACUAAACUAACUAAAUAAAUAAACAACGGAUAAACGAGAUAAGUAACCCAUCUUCACCCUCCCCCCAAACUUAUUUCACACAAAGGAGAAAUAAGUUUGGAUGAAGGAGAAAAUGGUUACUUGUCUCGUACUCACAAACGAGGUGGAGGCUUAGGCGGUGGCCAUUUCUCAUCAAAUUUGCAUGCUCCAUCCACCGCGACCCAAAAAUAUGGUGGCUUUGCAAUUCUUGAGACAUCCCGGGCGUCAUGGUAAUCUCGUUCACCAUCUAGAGUAUCACCACACUCAAACAAUUCCUUAUUAGGCAAAUCAAAAUAAAAAUCAAAAGAUGAACAUAAAUAAAAGUGAAAGAAGCAAGCCUUCGUAGAAUCGCCCGUGUCGAGGUAAGGAUCGACAAAAUCUAUGACUUUGCAUUCUUUGAAGCUUGUGCAGUCUUCAUCUUUUUGGAAUUGUAGAGGUUGCAUUGGAAAAGUUGGGCUCUCGACUUCAAGGGNUCUUCUGCUUGUACUCCUUUUGGAAGACGUGGCAGUAGAGCUCACCAUGAGCACAGAUUUGCCUUUAGAGGUGGAAGACUCAUAGGUCUUCAACAUGUUAUGAAGCUCAGGCAGGCUUGCCUUCGUGCCGUUCAUAUUGAAGUUCACAAUGAAGUUUUCAAAUGAGGCGGGCAAAGACUGCAAAAUCAGAUUGACAGAGACAGUAGCGGGUAGCAUUGUUCCAAUCGAUGCCAACCUCUCAAUCAACCCGAUCAUCUUCAGUACAUGAUCAGAAACCUGACCCCCAUCAUGAAGCUUACAUUUAAAGAGAUCUCGGAGUAUCUCAUACUCCAUAGUCUGAGCUUCUGAAGCAUACAGACUCUUCAAGUGUUUCAGCAUAUCAUAAGGGAACAUGUGUUCGUGUUGCCUCUGUAACUCCGUAGUCAUAGAGGACAACAUCACACAUUGUGCCGAUGUUGCAUCCUCGACAUGCUUCUUGUGAGCAGCCUCAUCAAAUGAUGCAUACUCAGCAGACUGCUUGUCAGGAAUGACAGUGAUUGGGUUGUUCAAGACAUACUCAAUCUUCUCUAGCCUUAAGACCAGACGCAAGCAACGGAGCCAAUCCGUGAAGUUUGACCCAGUCAACUUGUUUGUUUCUAUCAAACAUUUCAGUGACAAAUUCGACAUAUUAUCUGAUCAAUAAUAAAGAAAAGCAAAUUAGAAAGAAUAAACUAUGAUCACAUUGUAUCACUAAUCAAACAAUGGGAUAUCGUAUUGAUUAGCUCCCACUAAUUUUAACAUAUCUUACGCCCCCAACGUAAAAUACGAAUUUAUAAUCCAUAUAAAUCUUAGUGGUCCAAGAUCCAAGUCAAUAUUAUGCAGCCUCUGCUUUGCUGAUGACUACAAUAAUAUUACUUAGAAGGCCUCUAAGCCAAUUGCAACAACAAUUUUGCAACUCUUGGUUGAUUAAUCAAAUUAAUCUGCGUCCUUAAAUCAUUCUUGGUCGCUUUACGUUCCAAAAUAAUUUAAGUAAGUCAACCCCAUCACACGGUGCCAACCUAUGAAUGAGUCUUGGCCUUGUCGAUUUAGAGUAUACAAUUUUAUGUAAAUACCCU